rnacentral:rRNA from 1 species
GAUGAACGCUGGCGGCGUGCCUAAUACAUGCAAGUCGAGCGAACGGACGAGAAGCUUGCUUCUCUGAUGUUAGCGGCGGACGGGUGAGUAACACGUGGAUAACCUACCUAUAAGACUGGGAUAACUUCGGGAAACCGGAGCUAAUACCGGAUAAUAUUUUGAACCGCAUGGUUCAAAAGUGAAAGACGGUCUUGCUGUCACUUAUAGAUGGAUCCGCGCUGCAUUGGCUAGUUGGUAAGGUAACGGCUUACCAAGGCAACGAUGCAUAGCCGACCUGAGAGGGUGAUCGGCCACACUGGAACUGAGACACGGUCCAGACUCCUACGGGAGGCAGCAGUAGGGAAUCUUCCGCAAUGGGCGAAAGCCUGACGGAGCAACGCCGCGUGAGUGAUGAAGGUCUUCGGAUCGUAAAACUCUGUUAUUAGGGAAGAACAUAUGUGUAAGUAACUGUGCACAUCUUGACGGUACCUAAUCAGAAAGCCACGGCUAACUACGUG